AGAUACCCACUAUUUCUUAAAAUAGCCAGUCAACACUCAUGUUGGACCUCAGCUUUUGGUUUGAGGUUUCUUUGUCUGAAUAUUCAAGAUGGAGCUUGAACAAAACAGAGCACAAAAUGAAAAUAUUAAGUGAAAUUUCCCAGAAAUGGAGCAAAGACAUCUUAUGCAGACUUGCUGCUGGUCCUCCAGGAUUUCUACAUUGUUAUAACUGGAGCAUAAAGAUUAAGAAGAAAAGCUGGAGUUCACAAAUCAGAAUGUGGGUAAUGAUGUUAGUGACCCAGUCACACAUCAGUCUCUAACACACCGGGAUUUGAAGGAUUUACUGGCAUGGUGGGAACACCAUAAACAU